rnacentral:tRNA from 1 species
GGUAAAAUGGCUGAAAAAAAAUAGGCAAUAAAUUGUAAAUUUAUAAAUGAAUUAAAAUUCUUUUACCA